rnacentral:snRNA from 1 species
GUAUGUGAGGAGACAACUGUCACCCCAUAGAUUUGUCUGAUCUGUCUGGCUACGCAGGUGUCCCCUACCUCCCUUACCACUCCAUGCAAGUCCCUCCUAAGUCUGGGUGCAUAGUCAAAGAGGAUGACCUCCCUCACAGAGGGGGACCUGUUCGAACGGUUAAGGUUAUGGGAGUAACCAUGCUCCCCUGAGCUUCCCAACAAGCUUUCAAACCCCAUUUGUAAGAGAACAUAGAAAAGUUUUUUUUUUAAAUAUACAUUAAACUUUUUUAAACAACUUUGCAUACAUUAGUGAGUUAUGCUCUGGCAUGUGGUUGUUCAAA